rnacentral:lncRNA from 1 species
AAAAAAAAAAAAGGUUUUUCCCGGCCUUUGAACAUUUUGCCUAUGAGAGUUUUGCAUAUAUUUUAUACUUGAGUAGACAACUUUAAUAAUCCAUAUUUAUACUAUCGCAGAAGUAAGCAUUUGGCAAACGUUCAGCCAUUAGCACUCAUUUAACCCUGUUAGCAAUAUUCUUUUGAAAAAAGUGCCAGUCCUUAUGUGAUAAACUAAGAAGCCCAUUGAAUAUAAAAGUGUGUAGGACUGAAACAGUGACCUUAUAUUAUUGCUAAGGGAAUAUGAGAUUAACUUCCUACAGGGGCCAAAACCAGAGAAAGGCUUCCAGCAACUUCAGUGAAAGUAGUUUGGCCACAUGUCAAGCCAAUUGUUUGUAUUAUUUAUGUACCUUUUUCAUAACUGGAAUUGCCAAAUAAGCAUGGAGGUCUAAAUGAUGUACUUGUUAGUGUAUUCAUUCAUAUUGAUUGUAAAGGAUUAUUUUUCACUCAGUACUGAUGUCCUUGGAAAUCUUACCUGGAAACAUGUUUGCAAAAAACAUUAUUGGAUCUUUCAUCUUUUUCUUGGUAUUACAUAUUUGUUCAAUAAAAAUUAAACACCCUCCCUUUUUUUUGAGUGAGGGCAGGGAGUACCUGAAAUAAGACAAUGUUUACUAAGGCAAAUAAUUGAAAAUUAAAUCUGCACUUUAUGGAAAUGAGAAAUAUUAACAUCUUUUUUCUCAUUUUUUUGUAUUACUGUAUUAGCUAAUGAUCAAAGUUGUUAAAAUUAUAAAUUUAUGAUGCAGA